CUUGAACCUUUAACAUGUAACUCGGCGAGCAUUUAUGAAGUCCCUAUUUCACGGCAGGCACCGUACUUGGAUCUGGAGAUAAGCAGCCUUACUGCUGAAGAAACUGAGACUGAAAGUGGCAGGUCUACACUGGUCACAUGCUACAUAUACCAUUAUGGGUUUCCACAUCGUGACUUUCUUCAUCAUGAUUCAAUAUUUCACCGGUCGCCAUGAGAAAUUAAAUGGGAAUCUGGGAGAGUUUUGCAGACGCUGCAAAUGACACAAAAAAGUUUAGAAACUCAGAAACACAUAAAAUAUGGGUAUAGUAUUGUGUGAUAGUGACCAAAAUUUGGUGGUAAAGUUUCCCGUAAAAGAAAAAGAAAAAAUUCAGACUUCUGCUUAGCUGUGAAAGGAGGACCAGAAAAAUGUAUACAUAUUCUCCAGAUCUCUUAACCCCGCGAUGUGGAAGGAAUAACUGGAGUCUAUGAGAUCAUUCUCCCAUUUUACAAACAAGGAAACUAAGGCAGACAGAACUGAAGUGACUUGCUCAGAGUUGCCAACUUUUAAGUGUCUGAGACAGGAUUUGAACUCAGAGCUUCCUUACUCUAAGCCCGAUGCUAUCCUACAGGCUUGCCUACCAUCUCUCAUUCCACUGGUCAAAGCCUGGAAGGCAAGUGCUUUCCACCAGGAGGCUCAGAGGGGAUCCAGGCCUGCAACAUCAGGAAGUGAUCUGGGCAGGGGAUCUCCGUCAACUUCUCAAUGGACCCAAUUGCAUUUCUGUUUAUUAGGCGGUUUGGGGGAAUGACAAGGUCGUGAGCCAGAUCUUGAGGAGUUAAAUGGGAGAGCGAGGAGACAAGUGGGGGCCCUGUCUAUGUGAUGCCUUUUCCAGGAGUUCAGAGAAACAGUUCACACCCCUUGCUCAGGGGUUAGAGGACUUGGUUCCAAUACUUACUUCCAGUGUGACCUUGGGCAAGUCUGCCCAACGAGGCUCCCUUUGUAACCUAGCAGGCCGGCUGACUUCCGGGACUCUCUUCCGUGCUGGACCCAGAGCCCGGCGUCCUGACGCAGCACCCCUAUCAGUGUUCGUGCAACAGUGGAGGCGACCCAAGAAGAAAGGGCCAAACUUAGCCAAUCUUGAGAGUUUUUGGUUUUUCCCAAGGAGGGGGAGAAUCAAUGCUCUGGGGGUCUGAGGAUCACCUGGCAGACAUGUGCACAGGCGGCUGCUGAAAGCUGGAGAGGAAUAUAUGAGCUGGAUUCUCAGGAGGAUAAAAGGAAUGAGAAUUCAGGAGUCCCCGCUUUGCUCGUGGCUCCGGCCUCUUGGCUGCUCCGACCGCAUUCUCUCUUUAUGAAGCACUUCCCUUUCCCUUUGUUAACAUUAUUAUAUCAGUGUCUUUACGUCAUUGGGCAGCCGGAGUUUCAAUAAAAGUUUUGAUUUGGAAAAAAAAAAAAUGUUGGCAAGAGAGAGAAGGAGCUGCUGAGGAAAUCCCGGGAUCCAAGAAUGGGGCAGCACGGGGAAACGGGGCGGCUUCCUCACUGCUGGAUUUCAUUUUGCUGGCCUAAAACAAGCAUAAAACUUGAGGCUGCCGCCCAAUUCUCAUCUGCCAGGGGCUCCCUUUCUUCCCAGCGUUACCCUCCAGGGACCACUGGGUCUUUCCAUCCACCGCUGCUACCCCGUCCUCCGUGAGCGCAGGACUGGCUCAGUUUUCUACGCGGACCCCUGGCGAGGUCUCGGCACGAAGCUUGCUAUGUACAAAACAGGAGAUGUUUUUUCAUUCUGUUCCUUUUUCUGUGAGAAUGCCAGUUCCUCGAAGGCAAAGACAUUUUUGAUUUUGUACAUUUAACAACAAGCACAGUUCUGGCAAACAGUAGAUGCUUAAUAAAUGUAUGCCGAUUGAGAAUCAGGAAA